CGGCCGUGGAACGUAGGAGAAGGUCGGAGUUGGUGGCGUGGUCCACCCUGUGCGGCAUCCAACUCACCCGGUGUCUUCUCCUCUUCUAUCUUUAAUGCGGAAAGUGAUCUGCUGCACGCUAGUACGAUGAUGGCGAAAGGCGCAGACGUCACGUAUGUCGUGCAAGAAGGGUAUGUGAGUCGGUGGUGGUGGUAGUGGGUAGAAUAGGCGUGCGGGGCUUAGACUGCGUGCACGGUCGUUUUCCUUGGGGGGGGGGACAGGAACGUGCCGCAUCUACGCGCCCGCGCCAUAUACGACAAGAGCGACGCACCAGCGACCCUUGCGUAUGAGUGUACACGCGCACACGAGGGGGGAUAAUGACGGGGCUGUCAGCGGUUUCGAAGACAAGGGUGACGUUUUGGGAGGUGUUGGCAGUGACGGUGGAGGGUUCCACGCACUGUCUACUUCUCCGACUAGUCUCGCUGUUUUGAGCAAGUUGUGCAAGCCAACAAGAGGCAUCCUCACGGAUGUUUAGGCAUUGGAGGUGGAAGGAGCACACCAGUGGAGGAGGAGGGGAGAUGACAGCGCAGAUGGAUCGACCUCUUGACGGCGAGCACGUGAAGGGAACACCCAUGAUGGGCUGCUGCUCUCGUGGUAGUUUGUUGCCGCGCAACGGGCGAAGAAACAACAAAGAUGAGGUGGGGCGAGGCCCACCCGAACGCUUGAAAGAUCACGGAGAGCGGCUGGCUGGCGUGUCGACAUAUGAUGUGGUUUCAGGUUCUUUUUUUUUCUUGUGUGAGGGUACGGCUUACCACAUCGGGACCGUGGAGCCGGAGUAGUGGUUGCACCUCGCGGCAGUCAUGGUAACGGCCCACGUGCACGGCGAGACGGUUGUGCACGGUGCCGCAAGUGUGUUUUUCCUCGAAUUCUUAGCGAUGAAAAGAAGAACGCGUGACAUGCUAAGCGCAAGGCCGGCGCGCGAUGUGUAUAGACCUUCCGUGCGAGAGGCCGUGAUGCUGCAAACCCAGGCGUCUGGGUGGUGGUGGUGGUGUGCUGCUCCGAGAUGGAGAAAAGGCGAGAAGGGGACACAUAGCCUCCUUUGUUCACUGCGGCGGAAGUGGUGCAGAGGCAACGUAAACAACAACUGCCUUUGGUGCUGCCGACAGGGGCACGGACGACGUAUGAGACGCGUUUCUUCGAGGCUCGUUAUGGAUGAGGACGUUACGUUGGCUUUCUAUCUUGCCUUCUCUUUUGGUGUUGGAG
rnacentral:misc_RNA from 1 species